AUAGAUAAAGACGUCAUUUUGUUUCUAUCUUAAGAAGUUAAUCCCCAAUUCAAUCAAAAUAUUGUUUUCUCUCUCUCUCUCCAUAAAACAAAUAGUAUUUUUGAUCUAACUUCUCAAGCAGAAUAGAACAAAACUUAAUUGUCUUUGUUUGGAUAUGAUAACAACUGAUUGUAUCAGUUGAAAAAACUCGGAGCAUUCCGAGUUUUUU
rnacentral:sRNA from 1 species